UACGAAGGGGGCUAGCGUUGCUCGGAAUCACUGGGCGUAAAGGGCGCGUAGGCGGCCAUUCAAGUCGGAGGUGAAAGCCCAGGGCUCAACCCUGGAAUUGCCUUCGAUACUGUCUGGCUAGAGACCGGAAGAGGUAAGUGGAACUGCGAGUGUAGAGGUGAAAUUCGUAGAUAUUCGCAAGAACACCAGUGGCGAAGGCGGGAUCCUGGGCCAGUACUGACGCUGAGGAGCGAAAGCGUGGGGAGCAAACAGG
rnacentral:rRNA from 1 species